CCGAAGACCCGGGUCAUCAAGGUGCCGUGUGACCUUGAAGGAUGCUGGACAGUGUAUAUAAAAUAAAGGAGCCCGCAUUCACCCUGUCCACGACUCGGCGACAGAAGGCUUCCCGGUUGACUGAACACUCGACGACUCCUCAACAUGAUGCUGCAGGCAGUUCUACUCGCCAGUCUGGCGACGGUUGCUCUUGGUUCCAUCUGCUGUGCUCCUCAGAAAUGGGAAGGAUUCAAAGACUACACCAUUGUCGACUCCUCGGGUGGAGAGCGUGGUCUGCAAUACUAUUCCUAUGACGCCCUCAACCGAAGGUACGCCAUCAGCGGCAACUACACUUCUUUUGUCAGC